CCCUUAGAUGUUCUGGGCUGCACGCGCGCUACACUGAUGCGCUCAACGAGUUUUAACCUUGCCUGGAAAGGUUGGGUAAUCUUUUUAAAACGCAUCGUGAUGGGGAUAGAUUAUUGCAAUUAUUAAUCUUCAACGAGGAAUUCCUAGUAAGCGCGAGUCAUCAGCUCGCGCUGAAUACGUCCCUGCCCUUUGUACACACCGCCCGUCGCUCCUACCGAUUGAGUGGUCCGGUGAGGCUUUGGGAUCUAAGCGAAAAGAGCGUUUCGCUCCUUUUGCUGGGAGAACUCAGUCGAACCUUAUCAUUUAGAGGAAGGAGAAGUCGUAACA
rnacentral:rRNA from 1 species